rnacentral:rRNA from 1 species
GACGAACGCUGGCGGGGUGCCUAAUACCUGCCAGUAGGACGCAGUUGCGAACGGGUGAGUAACGCGUAGGUAACUAGCUAUUAGAUGGGGAUAACUAUUGGAAACGAUAGCUAAUACCGCAUACUAGUAGAUGGACCUGCGUUGUAUUAGCUAGUAGGUAGGGUAAUGGCCUACCUAGGCAACGAUACAUAGCCGACCAGGAGGGGUGGGCGGCCACACUGGGACUGGGACACGGCCCAGAGUCCUACGGGAGGCAGCAGUAGGGAAUCUUCGGCAAUGGGGGGAACCCUGACCGAGCAACGCCGCGUGAGUGAAGAAGGUUUUCGGAUCUGAAAGCUCUGGUGUUAAGGAAGCGGUACUUACCCAGAAAGGGACGGCUAACUACGUGCCAGCAGCCGCGGUAAUAC